GGGGAGGCUUGAGCAGAGCGGCUGCAGAUUACAAGUCCUACUAUCCUGUGUGAAAUCGUGAGAGGAACUCUGGUUGCAUGAGUGCUUUUGUCAGAGGGAAUAGGCCAGGUUUUUGACCACGAAGAGACUCGAGUAUAAGGAAUGCAGGAUGGCGAGCUAAUCGGAACCUAAUCUUGACCAAGAAGAAACCAGCAACCAGCCUUUCUCCUGCCAAGGCGGUAGGCCACGCUGCAGCCAAGCCCCAUUCACCUCUUUUUCCUCCACACACACACACUCUGGUAUUUCCCUGUAUCAGCACAUUAACUCACUUUCAUUGACUGACUAUUGGACUAAUUGACUUUUUACCCCCGUUUGAACACGGGCCAGAGUGAAAGCACCAUUGUGUGAAGAGGAGAACUACUAAUGAUAGUAGUGAUAUUGAGUUGGGGUAUUUUUUGGUUGUGUUUUUGCAUUUGGUUGGAUUUUUUUUGGUUUAAUGAAUUAGUGGGAAGAUAGUAGUCAGAACCGGUAUUUUGCAUAAUUUGAUUUAUUAUAAUUUUGGAUGAAAUCUAUUUUUUUGUAUGGCUACUUUUUUGUUGUUUAAUUUGUUUAUUUCUUUCUUCUAUAUUUCAAUACAUGGUACCUUUUUCAAAGCAUA